rnacentral:rRNA from 1 species
UACGUAGGAGGCAAGCGUUGUCCGGAGUACUGGGCGUAAAGCGCACGCAGGCGGUCGUGUCAGUCUGGGGUGACAGUUUCCGGCUUAACCGGAAAAGGACUCUGGAAACUGCACGACUUGAGGGCUUCAGAGGGAUGUGGAAUUCCAGGUGGAGUGGAUGAAAUGCGUAGAGAUCUGGAAGAACACCAAAGGCGAAGGCAGCAUCCUGGGAAGUUCCUGACGCUCGGGUGCGAAAGCCAGGGGAGCGAACGGGG